UGAUCACUGGUUCAGAGACAUGGGAGGAAUAUGUCUUCUGAAAACUACAACUCCCAGAAUACCUUUCACAGGAAUAAACACGAAGAAGCGAGUGCAGCCCCAGGAGCAGUGGUAUGACAUCACACGAGACAACAAGAAGGAAGACCUGACUCUAGACUUUGACUGCCAGACGUCAUUCUCAAAACAGUCUAAUCACGUGCCAGAAGACGAUGCCCGACCGCUGUGUGGCGUAUGGGUGUGGCAAGUCGUGGGAAGAUGGUGUUACUCUGUACAAUUUCCCUAACAAUGACACAGAGGAGUUUCACAAAUGGGAGAAGCAGGUCCAGCGGACUCGGAGCAACUGGACCGCCUCGCCGAACUCCCAGCUUUGCUGUGAACACUUUGGUAAGGAGUGUUUUGAAAACAAGCCCUACCCCGUCCUCAAGGCUCUCGCUGCCAAAGGACAGCUGAAGCUGAAGUAUGGGGCUGUCCCCACAGUGUUCAUACGGCCCCCCUGCACCUCCUGUGAGGGCUUCGGCUGCAACGUGUGCACCCCCAAAGCCCAGAGACGUGGCGUCCCUGUAGAACCACAGGAAUAUGACACGGAGGAUGUUGAGGGGGGACCUCUGCAGUCGGAUGACACUGAUGCAGAGGAUGACGAUGACGAAGAUGAAGAUGAAGAUGAUGAAGAUGAGAUGGAUGAUUAUUUUGGAGAUUACUACUCUGCUCUCACUAUAGAUGACGGACCGGUGGUGUGUGAGAUGUGUGGCUUCAGCGGGACCAGAGACACCUUCUAUUCCAAGACCAAGCGUUUCUGCAGCGUCUCCUGCUCCAGAGCCUACUCCUCCAACUGCAAGAAGUCCUCUAUCCUGGCACGACUUCAGGGAAAGCCUCCCACCAAGAAGGCCAAGGUGCUGAUUAAGACUGCCUGGUCCACCCAGAUGGGAAACAUGAUUGCUUCUCUGGGAAGCAGUCAGGACAACAGCUCCAGCUCUACUGGACAGGAUGUUGCAGCAACAGGAAACUUUGACUGGGGUGCUUACCUGGAGAAGGCAGGCUCUCUUGCUGCUUCAGUGGCCUGCUUCAGACAUGCGCCACUCUGUGCCCAGUGGGAUGACAUCACAGUGAGGUUAAAGGUAGAGGUCCUGAACACUAGUGCCAUCCUGCCCAGUAAAGUGUAUUGGAUCGCUAGCAUCAUCCAACUUGCAGGCUAUAAAGCUCGGUUGAGGUACGAGGGCUUUGAGGAGGACAGCAGCCAGGACUUCUGGUGCAGCCUGGGUUCUGGAGACAUGUACCCCAUCGGAUGGUGUGCCAUGACCGGCAAGCUGCUGGUGCCACCACAGGCUGUGCACCAGAACAUCUCUGACUGGAAGGAGUAUCUGAUGAACCGGCUGGUUGGAGCCAGAACUUUGCCUGUGGACUUCUAUAUGAAGCUGGCCGAGAGUAUGAAGUGUCCGUUCCGUACUGGCAUGCGUGUGGAGGUGGUGGACCGCACUCUGGUGAGCCGGACACGGCUGGCAGUGGUGGACACUGUGACCGGAGGCCGCCUAAGACUGGUCUAUGAGGACGGGGAGCAGGAGGCCAAAGGGGAGCCCCUCUCUGAUGUCUGGUGCCAUAUGUGGAGCCCCCUUCUGCACCCAGUGGGCUGGUCCAGCAAAGUGGGUCAUGUCAUCAAACUGGCUGACGUUGACCACCCAACAUUCCGUAAGGUGUACUGUGAUAGCGUCCCCAUGCUGUUUAAGAAGCCCAGGACUGUGUACAUGGAAGGAGGCUUCUUUGAGGUGGGAAUGAAGCUGGAGGCCAUCAAUCCUGUAAACCUGGGCAACAUCUGUGUGGCCACUAUACAAAAGGUGCUGUUGGAUGGCUACCUGAUGGUGGGCAUUGAUGGGUCAGGUGAUGGGUCUGACUGGUUCUGCUACCAUGCUUCCUCCCAUGCCAUCCUACCCAAGGGAUAUUGCCAGAAGCACAACAUCCAGCUCACACCACCCCCUGGCUAUGACUGGAAAACCUUCUCCUGGGCAAAAUACCUUGAGGAGAAGGGAGCCAGAACAGCGCCAGCACAGCUCUUCAACACGGACAGCUCAGGUCACGGCUUCACUCAGAAAAUGAAGUUGGAAGCUGUGGACCUGAUGGAGCCGUGGCUGGUGUGCGUCGCCACCGUGAGGCGCUGUGUGGGCCGGCUGCUACUGCUGCACUUUGAUGGCUGGGAGCCGGACUUUGACCAGUGGGUGGACGUUCAGUCACCAGACAUCUACCCUGUGGGCUGGUGCGAGGUCACAGGAUACCAGCUCCAGCCACCCAUUGGACCAGAUCCUGUUGCAAGUCGCAAGAAACACAAGCCUAUGGGGAAAAAGAAGAAAAGGAUGGUGAAGAAGAAACUGGCGAACUUCAUCUCCAAGAACCGCCCCCCAAGACGUCCGAGCCAACAGUCUGAACCUGAGGCCGGAACCCCAGAACAGUCAGACCACACAUCCGUCACACAGCAGAUUAAGGCUGAACCUGAGGAGCAGGAGAGUGAGUAGACACACAUCCCUCACACAGCAGAUUAAGGCUGAACCUGAGGAGCAGGAGAGUGAGUAGACACACAUCCCUCACACAGCAGAUUAAGGCUGAACCUGAGGAGCAGGAGAGUGAGUAGACACACAUCCCUCACACAGCAGAUUAAGGCUGAACCUGAGGAGCAGGAGAGUGAGUAGACACACAUCCCUCACACAGCAGAUUAAGGCUGAACCUGAGGAGCAGGAGAGUGAGUAGACACAUCCCUCACACAGCAGAUUAAGGCAGAACCUGAGGAGCAGGAGAGUGAGUAGACACACAUCCCUCACACAGCAGAUUAAGGCUGAACCUGAGGAGCAGGAGAGUGAGUAGACACACAUCCCUCACACAGCAGAUUAAGGCUGAACCUGAGGAGCAGGAGAUCAUAGCAGUGAAGGUGGAGGAGGUGGAGACCCCCAUCGCACCGACCCUGCCAGAGGCCCAGGUCCCUCCACCCUCCCUGGGGGUGGUCAAGCAGGAGCCACAGGGAGAGGACCAGCAGAAAGCAACAGACAGAGGUGGAACCGAUGGAACGUUGAGACUCACUGAAAUUGAUAUACCCUGAAUACAAUUAUCCAAACUGACCGUAGAUGAAUGUCUGUGGUUAACUUCAUUCUACACCAUCACAGCCUUGGAUCACCUGAACCUGAAGAUCAGAUGAGUCUGUUGAGCUGGUCCCACUUCUGAACAUUCUCUGCUCUGGAGCUGAAUAAAACUGUUCCAGUUUAACAGAAAGGCCAAUACUGUGACACCCGUUAAGGACAUUCUUCCAUACAUUGAAUAACAAACACCCAGUCGAUGUUGUUGUAUAAUGUUUAUUUGUUUUAUAUCCAGAUUCCUUUUGGUUGUUGUAUAUACAAUCCUGGAUUAAAGUACUUCAGUGAACUGGU